AAGUGAAGACUCAAGCAAUCAUAAUUGCUGCAAUCAGAGAGUAUACAUUUUUUUUUUAUCAGCAAUCAGGUUAUUAGAUUUAUCAAGAAAGCUAGAAGGAGAACUUAUCACACCCGAGUGACUACACCCAAGCUAAUAAGCUUACCCAAUACACCCAGAUUCUAGCUCAGGAUGAUAAGAAUACCAAGACAAUGAAACAAGAGAAUCAGUCUAGAAACCUCUCUUAAGACAAGAGAAGAGUGCUAGAAAAACUGAAAAAAGAGAACUUGAACAAUGAUGGAACAAAGAGAUAACUGCAAAAAAAAUACAAAGAAACUAAAUCCAAGCUAAGUACGGAUUCGUAGCACUAACCCCUUGCUUAGCUAAAGAAUCGGCAAAAUGGUUGUCAUUUCUCGAGAUGAAAACAAACUGAACCUGAUUGAGAUGAGACAAAAUCUGAUCAAACUUGUUAAACUUCUCCCACCAAUGCCACAGCCGCUUGAGCUUUGACUAAUCCAACACAAAGCGGUUUUAGAGUCUGAUCCCACAAUCAAAGGAAAAUGUUUAACAUUUGAAUUCCAAAAAAUCUAAUAGCUGAAAAAAUAGCAAGUAGUUCGGCCUCACUCGAAUCCAAUAUAUCGAAUGAAUGAUAAAAAAAAUAUUUAACUAAUCCAUUACUGUCCCUUAACACACCUCCUACCCUUGCAUGACCCGAUUUACCAAAGGAAGAACCGUCAAUGUUCAACUUUAGCCAUCCUUCAGCCAGCGCUCCCUAAAACAUAGACUUUACUGUACCAGCGGCUGUGAUACACAUUGAACCACCAGAUCUGCAGACUUCAAUCGGGAAAAUUAACCAGUCACUGAGACCAAUAGAAGGAAACUUAUUUUUAGCCUUUAACAACUCGAAGCUUCUAAAUUUAAGCUUAUCGACAACCUCUUCCGAAUUCUGCCUUAGAUUACUGAACACAACUUGUUUCUAGCUAUCCAAAUAGACCACAAAGUUAAAAGCAUAAUAGAAUUAGAGAUACCACGACACCCUUUAACCAAAACAAUACUAUGCCACUGCCAGCUCAAGAAUCAGAGAGUAUAUAUGGACAUGUGCUGCUCUUGAAUUUGCACUUGUAGCUAUUUUUGUUCACUUAUUUUAUAGCUUGGAAAAUAAA
rnacentral:lncRNA from 1 species